GAUGCCGUCACUCUUCAGUAACCUGGAGCCCAGCUAAGGAGUGUGGGAUGCAUCUUAAAAGUUCAGGGUACUCUCCUUAUUAGAAGCUUCUUUCCCUGGAGCCUGGCUUACUCUGAGAUCUCAUGUAGGGUUUCUGACAAGGAGCCUUCUGCAGAGGACCCAUCUACCAGAAUUAUAAUUCUAGAAUCUGUCAGCACUGAUAUGAAUUAAGUUGUUUAAGCUCUGAUGGGUGCAGAGGGAAGCCGGCAUAAUUAGCACAGAGAAUGCUGAUCUGAUGAGUGGAGAGAUCAUGAACUAACUCGGUAUUUUCCAUCUCUAAAAUUCUGGUGAUAUGAAAUUGCUUUUAAGCAAGUUAAAAGACCUAGAGUUGGGGAACGUGUAAUCAGGCACCACUAGAUAAAGUGACAUGUGCUCUGGAGGCACUACUGACUGCUCAGGGGCCGUUACCACAUCACUUCUGCAGAGCAGAAAGAAGUGCACAAUUUGAGAAAGCGUGUUAUGUCCUUUUCAAACAGGAAAUCCAUGACCGUUCUGGAAUAAAGAAGUUCCAGUACUACCUCCUAAUGAAGCCUUUUGUGAAUUUCUACUGUACUCCAGUAUCUCCAUUAUGACAGCAUGCUAAUUAAAGAAAGAGAGAAGUGAUGAAUAAGGCACUUGUACUGCAACACGAACUUCAAGAAAAGGCCAGAAAGAAUAAAAUCACUAACAACCCCAACUUAUAACGUGAUGAUGGUCAGACGCAGGGCUGACACUUUUGCGAAACAUCUUAUGGCUCUCAACUUCAUCAAUUCGUAUCUCUUCAACACAUUUUCAGUAAACACUAAGAGGAUCAACUUGAAGGGGCUGUCAAAAAGCAAAUAAUGACAAUGUGAAGAGAAAAACCUAGAGCCUAACUCUUGAUUUACUGAAGCAACCACACAGGAAAAAGAUGUUAGUGUCAGUAUCCCUGAAAUGGGACCACCGAGGAAGUGGGGGAAAUUGUGAGUGUGGAAGUAGUGAGCAAGUUCUGUCCCAUGAGUCUGCAAGGAUACCAAGACCAAGGAGUAAGCUGUCGGAUGACUCUAGAUUGGGAGUGGGAGCCUGGAGACUGGUCUUGGCUAUGCCACUGAAUUUUGGAUGACACUGGGUAUUUCGUCUCACCCUCAUCAAAGGCUCGGGAGGAAAUGAAGUCUCUGAAUGUGAUGAACAUUUCCUGAGCAUCUACUGUAUCCUGGAUACACAGACUGUGCUGGGCACCAGCACUAGGGGUUUACUG